CUAACAAGGAUUCCCUCAGUAACGGCGAGUGAAGAGGGAAGAGCUCAGUUUUGAAAUCUGGCAGUGAUUCACUGUCCGAGUUGUAAAUUGAAGAGAAUGUCAUCCACGCUGGACCACGUCUAAAUUGUAAUGAUCCACAGUCCUUUGAUGGAGUAUCAGAGAGGGUAAUAAUCCCGUCUUUAACAUGGACUGCCAGUGUUUCUGUGAUGCACUCUCUCAGAGUCGAGUAGUUUGGGAAUGCUGCUCUAAUGGGAGGUAAACUCCUUCUAAAGCUAAAUAUUGGCGAGAGACCGAUAGCGAACAAGUACCGUGAGGGAAAGAUGAAAAGAACUCUGAAAAGAGAGUCAAAUAGAACGUGAAAUUGCUGAAAGGGAAGCAUUUGGAGUCAGACGCAUCUUCAUGCAAUACAACUCAGUGGCAGAGACUUGAGACAAGUUACUUGGAGACGGGCCAGCACUCACGAAGACCAUUGAAGAAGGGGUCAUGGAAUGUAGCUCAGUGCUGAGUGAUUAUAGCCUUGAUUCAAACGCAAUGUGUCCUUUGUGAGAGAUGGACAGCACGACAACAGUUCAGUGCUUGAUUGACUGGCAUA
rnacentral:rRNA from 1 species